UACGUAGGGGGCAAGCGUUGUCCGGAUUUAUUGGGCGUAAAGAGCGUGUAGGCGGCCUGGAAGGUCAGCUGUGAAAACUCGAGGCUCAACCUCGAGACGUCGGUUGAAACCACCUGGCUAGAGUCCGGAAGAGGAGUGUGGAAUUCCCGGUGUAGCGGUGAAAUGCGCAGAUAUCGGGGAAGAACACCCGUGGCGAAGGCGGCACUCUGGGACGGUACUGACGCUGAGACGCGAAAGCGUGGGGAGCGAACAGG
rnacentral:rRNA from 1 species